rfam:Thermoplasmatales archaeon B_DKE contig-1000036, whole genome shotgun sequence.
GCCACUGUAGCUCAGUUGGUAGAGCAGCUGACUUGUAAUCAGCAGGUCGGGGGAUCGAUACCCUCCAGUGGCU